rnacentral:tRNA from 1 species
GUAGUCGUGGCCAAGCGGUUAAGGCGACAGACUAGAAAUCUUUUGAAGUGUCUCCGCGCAGGUUCGAAUCCUGCCGACUACG